rnacentral:rRNA from 1 species
CGUAGGGGGCAAGCGUUGUCCGGAUUUACUGGGUGUAAAGGGCGCGCAGGCGGAAUGGAAAGUCAGUGGUGAAAUCCUACAGCUUAACUGUAGAACUGCCUUUGAUACUUUCAUUCUUGAGUUCGGGAGAGAGAGACGGAAUUCCAGGUGUAGUGGUGAAAUACGUAGAUAUCUGGAAGAACACCAGUUGCGAAGGCGGUCUCUUGGUCCGAUACUGACGCUGAGGCGCGAAAAGCGUGGGGAGCAA